UAGUUUUUUUAGAAAUAAAUUUAAUUUACAAAUUUUUAAUUUUUAAUUUAUUUGAAAAAAUUAAAAAAUUAUUAAUUUGAAUAUCUUAAGGGAUAAGCUUUAAGAUAAAUUAUUAAAAAUAUUAAAUAAUUUAUUAAAAAUGUAUGCAUAGAAUUAGCAAUCAUUUAUAAAUUUGUUAUAAAUUAUUAAUAAGUUUUUAUUAUUUAUUUAUAUUUUAAUUAAUUUAUAAAAAUUUUUUUAUUAAUUUUAAAUAAAAAUUAAUAAUGAUUAAAUUAGUAUAUAUUUUAUGUUAGAAUAUUUUUAUUUGAAAAGUUUAUGUAAAGAACUCGGCAAAUUUAUUUACAAUUAUACUCGCCUGUUUAACAAAAACAUGUCUUUUUGUAUUAUAUAAAAAGUCUAACCUGCCCACUGAAUAAUUUUAAAUGGCCGCAGUAUUUUGACUGUGCAAAGGUAGCAUAANCAUUAGUCUUUUAAUUGAAGGCUGGUAUGAACGGUUGGACGAAGUAUAAUCUGUUUCAUAUAAAAUUAUUAUAGAAUUUUAUAUUUUAGUUAAAAAGCUAAAAUUUUAUUAAAAGACGAGAAGACCCUAUAAAUCUUUAUAUUUAAUAUUAUUUAAAUUUUAUAGAUAAAUUUUAUUUUUAUAAUAUUAAUUAUUUUGUUGGGGUGAUGUUAAAAUUUAAUAAACUUUUAAUUAUUUAAAAUCAUUAAUUUAUGAUUUAUUGAUCCAUUAAUAUUGAUUAUAAGAUUAAGUUACUUUAGGGAUAACAGCGUAAUUUUUUUUGAGAGUUCAUAUCGACAAAAAAGUUUGCGACCUCGAUGUUGGAUUAAGGUAUAAUUUUGGGUGUAGUUGUUCAAAUAUUAAGUCUGUUCGACUUUUA
rnacentral:rRNA from 1 species